GGGUCAGUAGGUUGGUCGUGCCACCGGUACGUACUGGUCUCACUGAUUCCUCCUUCCUGAAGAACCUUAAUGCCAUUAAUUUGGUGUUGCGGGGAAACAGGACUGUUACUUUGAAAAAAUUAGAGUGUUUAAAGCAAGCUAACGCUUGAAUACAUUAGCAUGGAAUAAUGAAAUAGGACGAUCGAUCCAAUUUUGUUGGUUUCUAGGAUUGACGUA
rnacentral:rRNA from 1 species